GACAGCAGCCGCCGCGGUAAAACGUAGGUGGCAAGCGUUGUCCGGAAUUAUUGGGCGUAAAGGGCUCGCAGGCGGUUUCUUAAGUCUGAUGUGAAAGCCCCCGGCUCAACCGGGGAGGGUCAUUGGAAACUGGGAAACUUGAGUGCAGAAGAGGAGAGUGGAAUUCCACGUGUAGCGGUGAAAUGCGUAGAGAUGUGGAGGAACACCAGUGGCGAAGGCGACUCUCUGGUCUGUAACUGACGCUGAGGAGCGAAAGCGUGGGGAGCGAACAGGAUUAGAUACCCGCGUAGUCCCUGUCUCUUAUAC
rnacentral:rRNA from 1 species